rnacentral:piRNA from 1 species
UCCUGCCUGUUGUAGGCCCCUUCAGGA